ensembl:lncRNA
GUCUGUUCAUAUGACCUGCGGCCGUCACACCUCACAGAGCUCGGAUCACGUGACGUCAGCGCUGAGAGGAAAUGACUGUUAACUACAGCCCUGGUCACAUCUGAAUGCAAGUUUGCAGUUGAUUGUGGGGGAAAAGGUCAACUCCCAGAGCGUCUCCACAUAUCCCAAUGAUGCUCGAGACUGAACACCUGCUUUCCUCUGUGUUCUUCAUGCCAUCCAACACCUUGGCGUUACACCUGAAAUUAGAGCACACACACCCACAACACACACAUCAGCCCCCAGUCAACUCCACCGGGACGAGCUGCACGCACACACACACACGUGUCCUCCAGGCAUAUGCUCCAUUCAGCCGUGUAGAGGUGAUCUUUCAUUUUGACAGAUCAUCAGCUUUUCUUUCAUGUGAGAUGUGGAGAUACCGGUUUUCCGAGCGCGACCGUUUGCUUUUAACAUCGUCAUACAGUGAGAAGCAGCCCUCGGCUUUAGAUUAGCUUGCGGAUCGUGAACGUUUGCUUAUUCCAAAAGCGUCCUGAAGGUUUUAGCUGCAUGGCUGAAGGGGGCGGCACUGUUUCUGUCCCAUCAUGCAUUUGUGAGCAGCGCGGACGCCUGCCAACCUGUUAAUGGAUAACAACCCCAGGCUCCAUCCGUCCUCAAACACAUGCCUGAGCACCCAAACAAUCUGUGUAAAAUCAGAGACUUACUGACCUUGUAAUUGACAAAAAAUCUAGCGAUAACUUCAUUACACGAUGCUGAAAAACACUUUUAAAAAUAUUAUUGCAGUAUGUAAUGAAUUAGCCUUGUUGCUGU